GUCCUUUUGAAAUUUAUUUAAGGUUUAACCUGCCCACUGAUUUAUUGAAGGGCCGCAGUAUUUUGACUGUGCAAAGGUAGCAUAAUCAUUAGUUUUUUAAUUUAAAGCUUGUAUGAAGGGUUGGACGAGGUAAAUUCUGUCUCUAAAUAAUUAAUUUUAGAAUUUAAUUUUUAAGUUAAAAAGCUUAAAUUUAUUUAAAAGACGAGAAGACCCUAUAGAUCUUUAUAUUAUAUUUAUUAAUUAUAUAUAAGAUUUAUAAAUUAAUUAAUAGAUUUAGUAUUUUAUUGGGGUAAUAAAAAGAUUAAAUUAAUUCUUUUAUUUUUUAACAUUGAUAAAUGAAUUUAUGAUCCAAUAUUAUUGAUUUAAAGAUUAAGUUACCUUAGGGAUAACAGCGUAAUUUUUUUAGAGAGUUCAUAUCGAUAAAAAAGCUUGCGACCUCGAUGUUGGAUUAAAAAUUAUUUUAGGUGUAGAAGCUUGAAAUUUUGGUCUGUUCGACCAUUAAAUUUUUACAUGAUCUGAGUUCAGACCGGUGUAAGCCAGGUCGGUUUCUAUCUUUAGAAAAAUUUUAGAUUUUAGUACGAAAGGACCAAAUUUAAUAUAUAUUUAUAUUUAUGAAUCUUGAUUAU
rnacentral:rRNA from 1 species